AGGACGAACGCUGGCGGCGUGCUUAACACAUGCAAGUCGAGCGGAAAGGCCCUUCGGGGUACUCGAGCGGCGAACGGGUGAGUAACACGUGAGCAAUCUGCCCUUAGCUUCGGGAUAGCCCCGGGAAACCGGGAUUAAUACCGAAUACGACCUCGGCCGACAUCGGCCUUGGUGGAAAGUUUUUCGGCUAGGGAUGAACUCGCGGCCUAUCAGCUUGUUGGUGGGGUAAUAGCCUACCAAGGCGACGACGGGUAGCCGGCCUGAGAGGGCGACCGGCCACACUGGGACUGAGACACGGCCCAGACUCCUACGGGAGGCAGCAGUGGGGAAUAUUGCGCAAUGGGCGAAAGCCUGACGCAGCGACGCCGCGUGAGGGAUGACGGCCUUCGGGUUGUAAACCUCUUUCAGCUCUGACGAAGCGCAAGUGACGGUAGGAGCGAGAAGAAGCACCGGCCAACUACGUGCCAGCACGCCGAC
rnacentral:rRNA from 1 species